rnacentral:rRNA from 1 species
GACGAACGCUGGCGGCGUGCUUAACACAUGCAAGUCGAACGGAAAGGCCCUGCUUUUGUGGGGUUCUCGAGUGGCGAACGGGUGAGUAACACGCGAGUAAACUGCCCCUGACUUUGGGAUAACUUCAGGAAACUGGGGCUAAUACCGGAUAGGAUCUCCUGCUGCAUGGUGGGGGUUGGAAAGUGUCGGCGGUUGGGGAUCGUCUCGCAGCUUAUCAGCUUGUUUGUGGGGUAGUGGCUUACCACGGCUUUGACGGGUAGCCGGCCUGAGAGCGUGACCGGCCACAUUGGGACUGCGGUACGGCCCAGACUCCUACGGGAGGCAACAGUGGAGAAUAUUGCACAGCGGGCGGAAGCCUGAUGUAGCGACGCCGCGUUCGUAAUGACGGGUUUCGGGUUAUGAACAGCUUUAGAAGGUGCCGAAGAGUGAGUGACGGUAAUGGGUCAAGAAGCAACGGCUAACUACGUG